GACGAACGCUGGCGGCGUGCCUAAUACAUGCAAGUCGAGCGCGGAAGGCUGGUACAUGUACCAACGGGAUGAGCAGCGAACGGGUGAGUAACGCGUGGGGGAUCUGCCUUUGAGCGGGGGACAACAUUUGGAAACGAAUGCUAAUAGCGCAUAAAAACUUUAAACACAAGUUGUAAGUGUGAAAGAUGCAAUUGCAUCACUCAAAGAUGAUCCCGCGUCUUAUUAGCUAGUUGGUGAGGGAGAGGCACACCCAGGCGAUGAUACAUAGCCGACCUGAGAGGGGACGCGCACUCGUUGGGACUGGGACACGGCCCGACCUCCUGCGGCAGACAGCCGUCGGGGAUCUUCGCCGGUGGCCGCAGUUCUGACCAUUCGACGCCGCGUGCGUGACGAAGCUAUCCGGGUCGUGUAACUCGGUUGGUAGUUAGGAUCGUUGGGCAGUGUGAACAGCGCAUCUAGUGACGGUAACUACCCAGAAAGCCCCGGCUAACUACGUG
rnacentral:rRNA from 1 species